AAUAAUUAUUACCAUAUAUAAGGCAUCUCUCUGAUACUUUACAGGUACUAUAUCCUCAAGGCAAGUAUUACUCUCAUUUCAGAGCAGUGAAAAUGAAGGCUUGGAGAGCAUGUGCCACAGACCCUGGGGGGAUCGGAAUCACGACUUGGACCCAUUCUGUAUGACUUCCUCGCCUAUGAUCCUUCAACCAGAAUCCACAGUUACCGAAGAUGGACUUUAGCCAAGCUUCUCAGCACCGAUGUGUAACUUCAUAAACCACAUCCAAGAGAAGAAGAUUGAAAAUGUCAAUAAGGAAAGGUGAUGAUAGUGUCUUCAUGGAACCCUUGGGUCAAGCACAGUCUGGAAGCAGAUGAAUCUUCUU